AGCCUUUUGUAUCUGUGCCUAGAUUUCGAUUGACACCAGACCAUCAGUACUGAUAAGACUCCCUAGAUAAGUGAGGCG
rfam:Schistosoma margrebowiei strain Zambia genome assembly, scaffold: SMRZ_scaffold0001167